rnacentral:tRNA from 1 species
GCUCGGAUGUGUUUAGGCUUGACUUAAAAUCCGCCGCUUCCUGAAUAAGGAGCAUGCCGGUUCGAUUCCGGCUCCGGGCACCA